rnacentral:rRNA from 1 species
AGUGAACGCCGGCGGUAGGCCUAACACAUGCAAGUCGAACGGCAGCACAGUAAGAGCUUGCUCUUACGGGUGGCGAGUGGCGGACGGGUGAGGAAUACAUCGGAAUCUACUUUUUCGUGGGGGAUAACGUAGGGAAACUUACGCUAAUACCGCAUACGACCUACGGGUGAAAGCAGGGGAUCUUCGGACCUUGCGCGAUUGAAUGAGCCGAUGUCGGAUUAGCUAGUUGGCGGGGUAAAGGCCCACCAAGGCGACGAUCCGUAGCUGGUCUGAGAGGAUGAUCAGCCACACUGGAACUGAGACACGGUCCAGACUCCUACGGGAGGCAGCAGUGGGGAAUAUUGGACAAUGGGCGCAAGCCUGAUCCAGCCAUACCGCGUGGGUGAAGAAGGCCUUCGGGUUGUAAAGCCCUUUUGUUGGGAAAGAAAAGCAGCAGGUUAAUACCCCGCUGUUCUGACGGUACCCAAAGAAUAGGCACCGGCUAACUUCGUG